GGGCAGGGGCUUUCGGGUAGCCAAGUGGUUAAAGAUUUCGCUCGUCAAGCCGAAGACCCGGGUUCGAAUCCCCACAUGGGUUCAAUGUGUGAAGCCCAUUUCUUGUGUCCCUGCUGGAAUAUUGCUAAAAGCGGC